GACCUCUGAACCUGAGCCUUGGAAAUUCCUUAAAAAGAUGAUGCUCAAAGGUAAGUAGAACGCCCCGUACUGAAGAAGAGAGGUGAAGGAGAGGCUAGGCACUAGAGCAGCGGGACUCCGCCUACCUUGCCCUCCUAUGCGCGUGCGCACCGCCUAUCGCUUAGCCACAGUAACCCCGUCGCGGACUCCGCCCAUUUCGGAUUUUUACC
ensembl:ncRNA F38A6.9 ncRNA